rnacentral:sRNA from 1 species
CGGUAGAAGAAGUUGAAGACGAAGAAAGAAGAAGAAGAAGAACAACAAG